GACGAACGCUGGCGGCGUGCUUAACACAUGCAAGUCGAACGGAAAGGCCCGGCUUUUGUGGGGUGCUCGAGUGGCGAACGGGUGAGUAACACGUGAGUAACCUGCCCUUGACUUUGGGAUAACUUCAGGAAACUGGGGCUAAUACCGGGUAUGAGCUCCUGCUGCAUGGUGGUGGUUGGAAAGUUUCGGCUGUUGGGGAUGGACUCGCGGCUUAUCAGCUUGUUUGUGGGGUAGUGGCUUACCAAGGCUUUGACGGGUAGCCGGCCUGAGAGGGUGACCGGCCACCUUGGGACUGAGAUACGGACCAGACUCCUACGGGAGGCAGCAGUGGGGAAUAUUGCACAAUGGGCGGAAGCCUGAUGCAGCAACGCCGCGUGCGGGAUGACGGCCUUCGGGUUGUAAACCGCUUUCGCCUGUGCCGAAGCGUGAGUGACGGUAAUGGGUAAAGAAGCACCGGCUAACUACGUG
rnacentral:rRNA from 1 species